GUGGUUAGCUGGUUGUGGAAAUUGACUCACGGCCUCUAACCAUACUACCCUUGUGACUGUCGCGAUCACAUCAAUCUUCAUUACUAGGAUUCAGAGAAUUGUAAUAUUUUUAGCCAGUAAUUCCUAGAAUAAUUUAUUCUCCCGCAUUUUUUAUUGUUUCUGGUUAAUGGCAGUGUUCAAGGUUAAACAAACACAAAUUAGAAUUGCAUUAGUCAUAGAUUUAAAGGCUGUGUGUUUGUGUAGUUUCAGUGAACUUGUUUUUACAAAAGUCCUUGGUGCAUAGCAUAAAUAUUGACUUCUAAUUUUAAUGUUACCUAUUCUUACUAAACUAAUAUGUGCAUCUUUCAUUUUUUCAGGGCUGCGUAUGUUUCUUUCGGCGGACUAUUGAUGCGAUUGCAAGGUGAUGCCAACAAUCUACACGGAUUCGAAGUUGACCAACAUAUGUAUCUUCUAAUGAAGAAAUUAGCUUUUUAAAGGAGCAGUGGGGACUUUGUACUACAUUAACUUGAAAAAAAUCCAUCUCAUGCAGUUGUAAUUGCACCAAAAUACAAGAUGAAUGUGUAACUUUUUGCGUCUUUGUUAAGUAUCUGUUCAUAAAUUGUCUAUAAAUAAUGAGUGUAUGAACUCCUACUGCCAUUUACAUUUACAGUAACAUCAUGACUUAGACCGGGAGAUGGUGACACUUUUUCUGGUGUGAUUUGCUACAAGUAUGGCGACCAUUCAAAGGUUAAAUUAAGUACUCCUCAAAUCGAAAAUGGUGCUAACUCCCUGGGAGUGGGGACAUGUCGGAAAAUUUAAUGAUUUUGGACAAUUUGCUACACAAUAUUCUUUGGAUUUUCUGCUAGUCGGUGACUAAACAAAUGGCGGAAACUAAAUGCCAUACUUUUCCGGUGGGUCUUAUAGCCCGCCAUACUAAUUUGAACGUGUCGAUUGUUUUUUUUGAGUGAUUGGAUAAAAGCUAAAAAAAAUUUUUUAACAAGUGCUUAUUUGAUUUUCAUGAUUUCCUUGUUCAUUUUUAACCAUGAAUAUGUAAUGUAUAACAGAUUUUCGAGUAUGGCGCUAUUUUUGGCCUUCAUGACGAGUAUGGCAUAUACAGGGUGUUUUUUUUAAGAUGGGCCAUACGACAAUGUAAAGGCGUUGAGUUAUUUAAAAUGGGCCAUAGGGAAAUUUACAUUGCGCCAAUUGUUCUCAAAUCUUGGCCUUGCGCUUAGUUAUUUCACUGACGGUUCUCAAUCUGAUCCUUCAAACUGCAUCAACGAAGCAGCAACUUGUAUUCCGCCGCUCGAAAAGGUGUUCAUGUAGUACAAUUUGUACAAGAGUGGGCACAGUAUAGCUGAGUGGUAUGCGAGCUAUUCAGUGCCGAGUAUCGGGUAUUGUUUGGUAGAAAACAAUUCGAGCACCGAUUGUAAUUUUAUAUGUUUAUAUCUCAUUUGAAUAAAUUUGUUGAUUUAGAAACAAUUUCUACAGUACUGUGGCAGAUGAUUCGCUAGGAAGCUAUGACUGAAACAAUUGAUGCAAUGUAAAUUUCCCUAUGGCCCAUUUGAAAUAACUCGACGCCUUUACAUUGUCCUAUGGCCCAUCUUUAAAAAAACACCAUGUAUAUCAUGGAUCAAAUUGGAGCAUGAAUUUUCGGAAAAUCCAAAUGCCAUACUGUAGCACAUCGCCCAAAAUUAUUAACAAAAAAUGACAUCUUUAUGGCGGUUAUGCGGGCCCGCCUGAACGUUAUGGCAGUAUCACUUUCGUGAAUGACUGACUGAGGACUGAUGGUUUAGCCAUAUGCUUGCAACAAAAAUUCCAACACUUGUGUACAGUUUUUGGGCUUGGCUACAGCUCAGAACUGCGAUGGUGGUGAGGGUGGAACAGUUUCAACUCCUGAUGUUUUUAUGGUAACCAAUAAAAGUGGACUAAUCAAGUUCUUAAUCAUUCCCCUCUGUGACAUAAUGAAAUCGUUCAAAUUCCUACUACGAAAUUGCUCACUGCAUUAAACAAACUAGAGUCAAGUUCAACCUCGAAGCUAUGAAUACAGUACUUCAUGAUUUAACCAUUGGGUCUUAAUGCUAGUUAUGAAGAUCCAGUGUGGCUUCAACCAUGUCCAAGGCAUAUAUACAGUAUUACCGCAAUAACAAUUCUUUCACUAUUGUGGCCUUGAGAUUUCAACAUUUCAAUUUGCAUGAUAUUCAGAAAUGUCCAAGCCUUGGAGUGGAGAAAUCCCUAAAAGGAAACAUCAAAGGCCUUUGCAUAACCCGAAAGUGACAGUUUGGGCUGCAAUGUCGGCAUUCGAAAAUCGGCCUGGUUUUUCUGAAGACCGCCAAGUAACCGCGCAGUAACGGUAAAUUCGCAGCGUUAUGUCAACAUGAUUGAAAAUUGUUUUUCUCCUGUUCUCCAAGAAUUUGAAGGAUAUAAUCCGAACACUUGGUUGCAGCAGGAAGGACCCACCUGUCAAACUUCUAAUUUUCCCAGAAAAAUUAAUUUGACUCCCCGCCAUUUUUUUUAUGGGACUAGUGUACCGUAACCACCCGGCCACUCUGGAGAACCUAAAGAACAAUACUGUGAAGAAAUGGAAGCCAUAACUACAAAGACCUGCCACCGCAUUUUGUAAAAUUUCAUGAGUUAUGCCUUCAGGAAGGCCAGGACAUCAAUGGCGCACAUUUAGACAAUGUAAUCUUGAAAACGUAAAUUUCCAUGAAUGUGCGUAAAUUUUAAAAUAAAUGUAAUAUGGGACUGUC